CUUUGUUAUGGCCAACCAUAUUAGAAAUCUCCAUUUUGCACAUUGCAAAUGCAAACAGAAUGUAAUCAAAUUCCUUUCAAGUGGGACAUCCAUUGCUUGACAAAAGAAAAAAAAAAUGUAUUGGCCCUGUAAGUACUUUUGGACUAACAACUAUCUCUGUUGGUGCAAAUUAGCUGGACUGUCCAAAUCAUCUUACCAUGAAGCCAGAUAUCCAUGGUUUUUAGCUCAUUGUUUUGUUUUCAAAGCUAAUAUUCUUACUCACGGUUGUCUCUUGGACCAACGUAAAUCCCUAAUUAUAUGCAUCUUGAUGGUUCUUUCCUCUAUUAAUGCAUUUUGUACUUUGUUUUUAUUAGCUCAUGAUCUGCUCUCAAUGGUAAUUUCAUGUUCUUAGUCAUAUUUUGGACUGCUAUAAAUCCCUAAUUCUAUGCAAUUUGAUGUUUUUUCUUUUUAAUUAUAUUGAUGUACUUUAUGAUUUGGGUUUUUCGUUUUAUGUUCUUUACCUGAUGAGUUUGGUUUGAAGUGAAUUUCAUGUUCAUGGUUGCCUUUGCCUGAUGAGUGUACCAGUCUGAUUAUUGAGUUAAGGCACGUUAAUGGCAGUAUCACCUUUGAUUUAAAAUUGUGGCUAUUUUUUAUGCUUCAUCUCCAUUCUUACAUAUGCCAUGUUGCCUUUGCCUCUACGGGAAUGGUGUUGGGGCUGGUAUAAGCUAAGAUGCGGAACCCUCUCACUCCAAUAACCAUGCAUGAAUGUUGGAACUUGGGUGUUGUCCUCAAGCUUACGUUUCUUCAAGCAGUUCAUCAAAAUGGCAUUUAAGGAAAUGAAAAAUAGCCUGCAUUCAAAAUACAUGCAUGGCCCAUCUGAUUAGAAGUUGAGACUAUGUCCUUCUUUCUCGGCCAAGGCAGGUACAAAGUAAGUUGAUUUUAUGGACGACGGGGAUCUUCCUGUUCCAUGUCCGUGUAGUAUAGCUAGGUGUAUGGAGGCAGAUUUUUAUAUGUUCAUGAGACUGCACAUCGAGUAGAUUCAUUUUUGCACAUCUUCCAGUUCCAUGUUUUUCUAAAGUCAUCCUGGUAGAUAUCCAGCCUACUUAUUUUUGCUUUUGAUAGUGGACUUCUACUUUAUUGAAUAUGAAUACAAACUAAUUGCAAUUUGGUCAUUUCCACUUUA